rnacentral:rRNA from 1 species
UGCCAGCCGCCGCGGUAAUACGUAGGUGGCAAAUGUUGUCCGGAAUCAUUGGGCGUAAAGGGUCCGUAGGUGGCUUGAAAAGUCUUAUGUGAAAUCUCUUGGCUCAACCAAGAAACGCCAUAAGAAACUUUCUAGCUAGAGACCAUCAGAGGGAGGUAGAAUUCCAGGUGUAGUGGUGAAAUGCGUAGAUAUCUGGAGGAAUACCAAUGGCGAAAGCAGCCUCCUGGGAUGGUUCUGACACUGAGGGACGAAAGCGUGGGUAGCAAACCGGAUUAGAUA